rnacentral:rRNA from 2 species
ACAGGGAUUGCCCCAGUAACGGCGAGUGAAGCGGCAACAGCUCAAAUUUGAAAUCUGGCUUCGGCCCGAGUUGUAAUUUGUAGAGGAAGCUUUUGGUGCGGCACCUACUGAGUCCCCUGGAACGGGGCGCCAUAGAGGGUGAGAGCCCCGUAUAGUAGGAUGCCCAGCCUUUGUAAAGCUCCUUCGACGAGUCGAGUAGUUUGGGAAUGCUGCUCAAAAUGGGAGGUAAAUUUCUUCUAAAGCUAAAUAUUGGCCAGAGACCGAUAGCGCACAAGUAGAGUGAUCGAAAGAUGAAAAGCACUUUGAAAAGAGGGUUAAACAGCACGUGAAAUUGUUGAAAGGGAAGCGCUUGUGACCAGACUUGCGCCGGGCCGAUCAUCCGGUGUUCUCACCGGUGCACUCGGCCCGGCUCAGGCCAGCAUCGGUUCUCGUGGGGGGAUAAAGGCUCAGGGAACGUGGCUCCUCCGGGAGUGUUAUAGCCCUGGGUGCAAUGCCCUCGCGGGGACCGAGGUUCGCGCAUCUGCAAGGAUGCUGGCGUAAUGGUCAUCAGCGACCCGUCUUGAAACACGGACCAAGGAGUCAAGGUUUUGCGCGAGUGUUUGGGUGUUAAACCCGCACGCGUAAUGAAAGUGAACGUAGGUGAGAGCUUCGGCGCAUCAUCGACCGAUCCUGAUGUAUUCGGAUGGAUUUGAGUAGGAGCGUUAAGCCUUGGACCCGAAAGAUGGUGAACUAUGCUUGGAUAGGGUGAAGCCAGAGGAAACUCUGGUGGAGGCUCGCAGCGGUUCUGACGUGCAAAUCGAUCGUCAAAUCUGAGCAUGGGGGCGAAAGACUAAUCGA